rnacentral:rRNA from 1 species
UCGAACGCGAAAGGGUAGCAAUACCUGAGUAGAGUGGCGAACGGGUGAGUAAUGUGUGGGUAAUUUGCCUUUCAGAGGGGGAUAACCCGGCGAAAGCUGAGCUAAUACCCCAUGAAGUUACAUUUUCUUUGGAGGAUGUAAUCAAAAGAUGGCCUCUAUUUAUAAGCUAUUGCUGAAAGAUAAGCUCACAUCCUAUCACGCUUGUUGGUGAGGUAAUGGCUCACCAAGGCGACGACGGGUAGCCGGCCUGAGAGGGUGUCCGGCCACACUGGAACUGAGACACGGUCCAGACUCCUACGGGAGGCAGCAGUGGGGAAUUUUUCGCAAUGGGCGCAAGCCUGACGAAGCAACGCCGCGUGGAGGAUGAAGGCCCUCGUGGUCGUAAACUCCUGUCUAGCGGGACGAAAAUAUUCAGAGUGAAUAAAUCUGGAUAUUGACUGUACUGCUGGAGGAAGCUCCGGCCAACUCCGUGCCAGCAGCCGCGGUAAUACGGAGGGAGCAAGCGUUA